UGGUAAUGAAGAGGAGCAGCUCCAUCUAUAUGGUGAUUCGCGUUUGGAGCUUUCCGUCAGGGCUGAGGCGAAGUCGGAUCGAUCGGCGUGCCUCCCUGACCGCUCAGGUGGCACCUCAGCUGCUUUCAAUCACUUCAGUCUCUUUAGAUAACAUUUCCCUAAACAGAGGAUUUUCUCCGUCAUCUGCAGACCUCCUGGUCCAGACACUCGGAGGUAGGACUGGAUUAAGUGGAUUUAGCUCGCUUCACGUCGGCUCAGGUGUAACAGUGACUCAGGUUUGGUCACCUGCCAGGUGGGGCCUGACUCUCCGGUGUGAGUGGGAGCUCCACUUUAGCUGCCAAACAAAUCUGACUCAAAUCUUACAGCGCCUGAUAAGCUCGAGCCUUUUAUUCACCUGCUGCCAGAAUGUCUCGUCUAACCAGUAAUGAACAGAUGGCCAUCUUUGACCUUGUUUGUCACUUGUGCUCAUUUUAACUUUUCCAUCUCCUCUUCUGUUCAGAAAGACCUCUCCAGAAUUGUCUGAUAAGGUUACUGUCUUAGCAGCACCAAUCAGGUUCCACAUAAUCCGCUCAUCUCCAGAUCCUUCUCUUUGAAUCGGUUAUCGUAGGAUCUCGUAUAAUCAGUGCUGAAAACCUUAACAUGCUCAUCAGAACUCUGCUUCUGGGUUCACUUUAGUGCUAAACAUAAAAAAUUCAACAAAAACAUAUGGAGGGCUUUUGUUUGCAUCACCACAGUGAGUUUCUGUGGAAGAUGGUGAGGGUGAUGUCUCUGCUACAAGACAGAAAGACCCUGGAUUCUUCAAAUAUUUACAUCCGCUUCAACACAUUCUCAAACUGGAACAGCAGAACUUUCAAACAGAGAAACGCAUGUAAAAAACCACAUGAAUAAUAUAUAGUUUGGGGAUUAAUAUUUCUGAAGAUGGGUGGAACUUUGGGAAAAGCAUAUAAAACAAACAAAAAAAA